rnacentral:rRNA from 1 species
AUACGGAGGGUGCGAGCGUUAAUCGGAAUUACUGGGCGUAAAGCGCGCGUAGGCGGUUUGUUAAGUCGGAUGUGAAAUCCCCGGGCUCAACCUGGGACCUGCAUCCGAUACUGGCAGGCUCGAGUCUGGUAGAGGGGGGUAGAAUUCCUGGUGUAGCGGUGAAAUGCGUAGAUAUCAGGAGGAAUACCAGUGGCGAAGGCGGCCCCCUGGACUGAGACUGACGCUGAGGUGCGAAAGCGUGGGGAGCAAACAGGAUUAGAAACCCUAGUAGUCC